rnacentral:rRNA from 1 species
AUACGGAGGGGGUUAGCGUUGUUCGGAAUUACUGGGCGUAAAGCGCGCGUAGGCGGACUAUUAAGUUAGAGGUGAAAUCCCAGGGCUCAACCCUGGAACUGCCUUUAAUACUGGUAGUCUUGAGUUCGAGAGAGGUGAGUGGAAUUCCAAGUGUAGAGGUGAAAUUCGUAGAUAUUUGGAGGAACACCAGUGGCGAAGGCGGCUCACUGGCUCGAUACUGACGCUGAGGUGCGAAAGUGUGGGGAGCGAACAGGAUUAGAUACCCUGGUAGUCCACACCGUAAACGAUGAAUGCCAGACGUCAGCAAGUAUACUUGUUGGUGUCACACCUAACGGAUUAAAGCAUUCCGCCUGGGGAGUACGGUCGCAAGAUUAAAACUCAAAGGAAUUGACGGGGGCCCGCACAAGCAGUGGAGCAUGUGGUUUAAUUCGAAGCAACGCGCAGAACCUUACCACCAACUUGACAUUACCAUCGCGAUUUCCGGAGACGGAUUUCUUCAGUUCGGC